CCUAUGUUAGACCUAAUUCAUCAAUUAAAAAAAAUUAAACUAAUUAAAGUGAUUAGACUCAAUCUGGGCAAAUCAAUAAAGGUAGAAGUAGAGAGAGAAUUUCUCUGAGCUAACUCAGUGCAGGGGUUUGAUCUGUCAAUGAUCACGAUAUCUAGAGCAUAGAUUAAGAAAGAGAGAUUAACAAACACGCAUAUGAAUUUAUAGAAAUUAAUUAAACAACUAAACAAUGAAGAAAAUGGGAAGAAAUGAAGGGGAAAGAAGAGAAGGAAGAGAAAGAUUGAGAAGAGGAGAGAAGAAGGAGAAGAGAGGGGAUUGAUGGUUGCAUUGGGAUGGUAAUAGCACGACUAGCAAGGUCGAGGUCCAGCAACUGUGGCGGCACCAAUGAUACCCCUGAGAUGGUGGCAACCAAUAACUGCAGCGGCCCAAAAGCAUGACUGAAUAAAAUAAAUAAAUAAAAAAAGAUUUUAUUUGGAGAUUUAUGGCGUUGCUCAGGGAGAAUGGAAGAGGAGGGAAAAGAGUUCACCGACAAGAUGAAGAUGCUAAAGCUCAGCCGGGGUGGUAGUUUCCUAUGAGAUUCAUAGCGGCAACACUCAGGAUAGAGGAAAAUAGGACAAAAAUUGAGAUUUUAAGGAAAAAAAUUGAUUUUAAAGGGUGGCGGCACUCAACAUAGUAGCACAACCAGCUAUCGGAGAUUAGGAUGAAAAAGGGUGAGG
rnacentral:lncRNA from 1 species